CAUGAACCAUAGGAUCUUUUCUGCAUCUCGGAAUUUUGGUGGCGCACCCUGCAGCAGCAUGUUUGUUGUUAUGGCUGUUUUUGCUUUGGUUUAGAAGGAAACCCAGCUAAGAAAUAGAGUUUCAGAGACAUGAAGAGUGUGAAGUGAAUAACCUGCCAUGUGUAUGUACAUGUAUCAGAUCUGCUUGAUGAAAGUCAAAUGUCUUACUAAAUUCAUCACCCAUAUGAUAAGCAUCAGGAAAUUUCUCUCAACAUAUGGAGUAAUGCUGUUGGUUGCUAUGGAUUCCAUUUUUUUACGGUUAUUUCAUGAGUGCUUUCAGUGUGCUUCUUAGAAAAGAGCACGCAGUUUCUUUAUGGAUCGUGUGGUCCUGGCACGGAGAUUCUUGUGCCAAUGCUGGCCUUUGCCCAUGACGGAAGAGGGACUUCCACCAACGUCCAUCGUUAUCUUCGCGACGCACGCUCAUCUAGCUUCACUGCUUCUAAACACAA